rnacentral:lncRNA from 1 species
CACGUCGCUAUGAAGAAAUCAUUAUAAAUAUAAUAAUAAGACAAUGUAAAUAUUGUUAUAAGACAUUAUAAGUGUAUUGACAAAAUCCAGUUGUUAAGAAGGGCCAAAAUAACUAAAUGUUGGGUAGACACAUCUACACCUAAAAAGACUCUAAAUUAAUCAUAUAUCCGAUGAUACAUAAUCAUGCCUAUCUGUGUAACACCCGGUCUAGCUACCACCAUGUCCUAUGUCACAAGUCCCAAGUCAAACCGUGCCACAAUUUCAAUGGAGUGCCGCAACUGUGCCACUGCCAAGCCUCCUCACCUUGUAUCCUAACACUACAGGAUUCGGGCAAUUUGCCUGGUGCCUAAAACAAAACACCAGGCAAAGGUAAAAAAACACCCGGCAACUAAUUUGCCUGGUGCAACACCCGGCAAACAACCCCCGGCAAAAAAAGACCAGGCAAAGAAAUAUUUGCCGGGUGUUUUUUAUCGCGCACUAGGCAAAUCUUUUGCUUGGUGUUUUUGUCGGCACCAGGCAAAAAAAAGUUACCGUCACGGUGCCUCCGUUAGCUAGUUUUUUUACCGGGUGCCAGGUGGAGGCACCCGACAAAUAUAUAUAUAUUUAUCUUUUCGACAGCAUCCCUUGCCGGGUGUCUUCUGAGGUUGGCACCCGGCAAAUAAAUUUGUAAAGAAAAAAUUUAAAAAGAUUUGCCUGGUGUUUUACAGAAAACACCCGGCAAAUCUGGGAACCGAACUGGAAAAUGUUCCCAAAUUUGCCUGGUGUUUUCCUAUAAAACACCAGGCAAAGGCUAUAUAUAUAAUUUUUUUAUUUUUAUUUUUUUUCUGUGUUCACAAACAAAUCACAGACAAUAUACAUGACACAUAUUUGACAUCACAAACACAAUAUGGGACAUAUAUAUCACAUCAACCAUAAUAUGUUCAUCGAACAUCGACAUGUUCAUCAAACGAAACAUGUCUCACACAAGCAUAAUAUGUCCAAUAUAUAUGUCCAUGAAGCGGCGAAAAGGGAAAGCAAACUAGAGGUUGACGGGAAACUAGUCGUCUGGUGAAGCAAUUUGCCUGGCAUGUCCUGGCGAAGGCGUAGAUCGGUCGCCUGCUUGCAGUUGAGGUGGGUUAUUCGAACCCACGGUUGACUGAGACUAAGGAGAAGAGGUUGCAUGUGUUAGAGUAGUCAUAUACUGAAAACACUUGUCGAAGCCAACUUGGUUCAUAUGUACUCACAGGACUCGCAUGAGGACUGAACAAAGCCCCCCCAUUCUGACUCUGGAGGAACGCCUUAAUUUCGGCCAGCUGCUUGGCAUGGUUUGCUACCUCCUCAUUGAGCCUCUUGUUCUCGGCCUGCAACAUUUGAAUCGAAUGUAUCAGUAAUGCAAAGGCAACUAAGUUAUGUUAAGAUCAAUGUACGACGAGUGCCACAGGACUAACCUCGAGUGCCACAAUCUUCUGCUGUGAAGGGGACGACCGUUGGCGUAUGGCCGGGCCUCCGCUCGGGGUUUCAGCUCGGAUCUGGGAGAGAGAGGGAUCCUGGGUGGAAUCGAGAACGCCAUCGCCAAGCCAUUUGUCAAGUAUAUGUCCGAAUCAUGAAUGAUGCACAGAUUAUAUUCUACCUUCUUGAAGGUCCCUAGAUUACAUCGCCUUGCAAAUUACCAAGAUAUGUUAAAAAAAUGGAGAUCUGGCAGAAACACAGUUUUUUCUAAAGGUUUGAAAUAAUACUAAAUGCCAAGUCAAGUUCUGGCUACAACUUUUCCAGACUCAAAAACAGAGUUAUGGUACUUCAUACUGGGCAGAGCAGAUCUGAAUCAGCUUAAUCAACUUGGCACGCAACAUCAACUUGUUCCAAUUUUCAGAAACAACUGCAGAAACAAACAUGUUGGCUCGAGACAGUAUUACCUAUCAAGCAUGAUGCCCCAGGAGACGACGUCCCGCACGGCCAUUCCGUCAAACACUUUCCGCGCGUCCCCAACGCAUCCGCACGCUGCAUAUGCCCCGACCAGCGCGGUUCCAACGAAUCCAUCGUCCAGUGACCCAACCCUGAAGGCCAGCGGCGCCCCUGACAUAAGCGCCAGCACCCUCGCAGCGAGCAGCGGAGCGGAGCAGGGCUGGAAGCGCUCGGGCCCCGGUGGAGGCAGGCGCAGGCAGCGAGCACGAGGCGUGGGGUGGUGGCGGAUGCACGGAUGGUGGCGCGGUAGGCCCGGUCGGGGUCCGGGUGGGUCGCCGGUGGUGAGGGGAUUUGGUGGCCGCGGCGGAGGAGGACGGCCUAGAGCUAACUCUGGUGGUGGUGCGUGUGCGGGUUCAUUGUUGCCAGUGUCUCGUUAAGCCGGCGCGCAGCGGGCGGCGCGGGCGCGAGCGCGGGCGCGAGCGUGGGCGUGAGGGCGGCGCGGCGCGGGGAGGCAAGCGGCGCGGGUGUGCGGGCGGCGGCGCGGGUGUGAGGGCGGCGGCGCAGGUGAGUGUGUGUGUGUUUUUUUUUUUUAUAUUGUGACUUAGGGUUCGGGAGAAAUAGGCUGGCCGGAUGGGCUUAUUUCCUAUUUGGGCCGGGUGUCUGGACGAGUGGCAUCCGAGAAAAAAAAAUUUAUUUGCCUGCUGCCUUGUUCAGUAGCACCUGACAAAUAUUUAUUUGCCUGGUGUAUUAAAGGCACCAAGCAAAUUAAUUUUAUAUUUUUAUUUGUUUUUGCUCUAGUUUUUAUUUGUGACCUUUAUACAGUAAUUCAAACCCACUAUCAAAAUUUGAGACAAUUUUGAGUUUUGUAAGCAUAUUUGGUUAAUUUUUUUUCUUUCGUUGCAUUUUUCGGACGACUCCUAAUUUGAACUGCAGGUACAUGAAAUAUAUGCAUUAGGGUCAUUCGAAAAAUGAUAUCCAUGAUGUUUGGGGUAUGUCGAGGCCUUAUCCAGGAACCCUCUUGAAAUUACCCCCAUCAUGACACCCUGACAUGAGGUAGGUAUCGCGUCUACUCAGGAUCUAAAUCUGAAAAUUCCCGAACCUCAUCCGAUAAUCACAAAAAUUACCGAUCUUGCUGGGUCUCCAUUUCUGAGACUAUAGUGAGAUGAUUCCACAUGAAUCGAGCGACACCGGACUACGAGUAGAAGGUGGCGAUGUCCUCCAGCGCUUUAGCUGUGACUUGGUGCUCUUGGAGCCUUUUCACUUGGCUUGACUGGGCUGGGGGGCAUCGACACUUGUUUGGGCGCUUCUAGUCUUCACCGAUUUCCCAGUUUGCUGUUACAACAAGCCAAAUUUCAUGAAUAACAGUAUGNNNNNNNNNNNNNNNNNNNNNNNNNNNNNNNNNNNNNNNNNNNNNNNNNNNNNNNNNNNNNNNNNNNNNNNNNNNNNNNNNNNNNNNNNNNNNNNNNNNNNNNNNNNNNNNNNNNNNNNNNNNNNNNNNNNNNNNNNNNNNNNNNNNNNNNNNNNNCAAAUAUGCUUAGAAAGUGAAAAGUUGUCUCAAAUUUUGAUAGUGAGUUUGAAUUACUGUACAAAGGUCACAAAAAAAACUAGGGCAAAAACAAAAAAAAUAUAAAAUUAAUUUCCCUGGUGUCUUUGAAGACACCAGAUUUGCCUGGUGCCAGGGAACAAGGCACCAGGUAAAGAAUAACGGCAAAUCGCGCCGUCCGUUGGCCCCGUCACGGGCAGAUUCUUUGCCGGGUGUUCUAUUUUACCAGGUGUCGACACCCCGCAAAUUUUAUAUAUUUGGCGGGUGUUUUUUUUUGCCGGGUGUCGCUGUCUAGAAAACACCAGGCAAAUCAUAUUUUGCCGGGUGUUUUUGUUUGCCGGGUGCUUCUGCGUAGGGCACUAGGCAAAUAUAUUAUUUGCCGGGUGCCUGAUAAAAAGAACCAGGCAAAUGAUUUUACACCAGGCAAAUCUCGCGUUUCCUGUAGUGUAAUGGUCGCCGACCGAAAAAGACUUUAAAGUAAUUAUCUACCCGGUGAUAUCAAAUCAUGUCUAUCCAUGUAACAUCCGGUCUACCAGCCAUGUCUUGUAUCGUAAGUCCUAGAUCGAACCGCACCAGAAAUUCGACGAAGUACAACAAAUGUACCAUCAUUGCCGAGCCUCCUCGCUUGUACCCUUCUAUCCUAAGAACUGCAAUGCGUAUAUAUUGUGUUAAAAUUCUCACCAAGUCAGGUAUGUGUGUUCAUAGAUAAUCUCUUGUGUUAAGAUUAUUUAAUAAAAAACAUUGUGUGAGGCAUGGAUAGGACGAGCACGCUGAUGCAGCAGUGCAGGUAUGUGACCAAGUUAUUCACACUUAGUCUCUACACGUCAGAAGUCCCAAGUCAAACCAUGCCAGAAAUCAAUGAAGUCCCGCACCCGUGGCAUUGCCAAGCCGGCCUCCUCGCCUUAUCAAGCCAGUCAUGUGUUUAUAGGUAAUCUCUUGUGUUAAGAUUUCUCAAUGGAAAAACAUUGUUCAAGUGGUGCAUGUAUCUGACGAGCAUGCUAACGCCGCAGCACAGGUCAUACUUAAUGGUAUUACUUUUAAUCGCCGCAACGCAUAGACACAUCAAAAUAUACUAUACUCAAAGCUCACAUGUCCACAUCCUACCUAGUUAUAGUACAAAGAGCAGAUCCACAUAUCUGUGUCCAAUACAAAGUCAAUGGAGCUCAUGUGUCUGUGUGCGAUAGUGAUUUUCUGUUCAAGAAACUGACCCGGGUGUGACGCAUGAGCAUAUAUCUAGUAAAGAAAGAACUUAAGCAUUACUCCCUUUGUCCUAAACUAUAAAUUUAUAAGUCAUUCUAAGAAUUUUAUAGAGUUAAAGUAUUUAAAUUUGACUACAUUAAUUUAUAAUAAGAUAUUAACAUCAUUGGAUUCUUCAUUAAUCAUAUUUAUAUACUUAUACCUAUUUGGUAUCAUAAAUCUUUAUAGUUCUAUUUAUAAAUUUGAUCAACUUAAGAUGUUUUUACUUUUUAAUAUUAUUGGGAUGAUUUAUAAUUUGGAAUAAAGGAAGUAAGGACGUUCUCAUUACAGCAAUAUGCUAUGGUUUUAAUUUGUUUGGCAGCGCGCGGAGGAGUAUAGCUUCGACUGUGAUGCCAGGGCCAUAGCCGACGAGGAGGCCCCAGUCGAGGCCUUCCCCUGCCGUGCUCAGACCCAGCUGCUCUGACAUCCGCCGCAUCUCUUCCAAAACUAGGAUGACAGAGGAACACCUUGUGUUGCCAUAUUGCCUCAUCACAGCCCUCGACGCCGCCAGCUUCUUCUCCCCGAGGCCCAGCUUGCUCUCAAUCCUGUCAAGUAUACCUCGUCCACCUGGAUGCACCACCCAGAACACCUCAUCGUUCAAAUCCGGAACGGGCACCACCGUGGCCUCCUGCAGCAUAAGCUCCACCAACCGCUCCACGGAGCCGGACACAUGCCGGGGUAUGUCUCGGUCAAGUGUGUACACUAUCCCUUCCUCCCGGAGCUUGGACACCAAGGCCUCCUCCGUCCCCGCCACGGUCUCCUGACACGCCAUCACAAGCUCAAACAUGGCGUGCUCUUCGGCGGUGGGGCUGCAGCCGACGACAACAGCACCGGCAGCGUCACCCAAGAUGGCCUGGCCGACGAGGUCCCCCAUGUGGGACGCCGAGGGGCCUCGAAGCGACAGGGUGCACACCUCGGAGCACACCACAAGGACCCGGGCGCCGGGGUUGUUCUCCGCAAGGUCCUUGGAGAGGCGAAGGGCGGUGCAGCCACCAUGGCAGCCGGUCUGGUACAGCAUGAAGCGCUUCGUCGAUGGUUUCAGGCCGAGGAGCCUGGCGAGCUCACAGUCUGCGCCAGGCAUGCAGCCGCUGCUUGACGUGCUGGCCACGAGAUGCGUGAUGUCGGAGGCCUGCUUGCCCCAGUCACUCAUGGCCCUGCCUGCCGCUGCCACGCCGAGCUCGGGUACACCCGCAUCGGCGAGCUCCUGCCGGCGGGUGAGGGAAGGGGAGCUGUACGCCGUGAUCGACGGGCUUUCCCUCAACAUUUCGUCGGACAUGUAAAAGUGUCGCUUCUCGAUCAUGGUCUUCUCACCUGAAUUUCAUCAUGUGCUGUACGUAUUAGAAACAAAACUAGAAUUAUUGAACUACCACAUACUUCGUGGUGAAGUUAUUUGUCUGGAUGAAUUGCCUAAUAACAACAUUUAGCUCAAGUUUCGCUAGUUCCAAAUUCAGCAGAUCUCGUCUAUGGUAUAUUACACAAAAUAAUAACAAGGUAGUUCUAUAAAGGACAAUCAACUGUACAUGCAUGGACUUACAAAUGUUUGCAAACUUUGCCUUCAAGUCCACCAUGUGAUUGCUUCUGCUAAUCUCAAAAUAGUAAUCAGAGAAUGAAUUUUGUUCAAACUCAUGCAGUGGAACAGCUUUGCCGACUCCCAAAAUGGUUGCAUUUCUGCCUUCAUGACGACAGCCCAUUCGAUGAUUAUUCACAUCUGGUUCCUUCAAAGAACCCAUCAAAAGCUUGUAUUAUUCUUGAACAAGAGGAAAAUGGUGCAUGUGAUCGAUCUACUUGUUCGGAUGCCUUGACCCUAAGGGUACAGUUAUAUAUAGGCACGUAUCGAUCGUGCGCCCGAGUUGCAAUAAACUCAUAUAUACAAUGCCAAUGGCGGGUGUGUGACGUUCUUGCACCUCUCCUUGGCAGAGCUAGAGUGGUUUUUCAACUUUUUUUUUUUCUUGGACUGGUUUCUAAUGAUUUCAGAUUAACAAACAUUGUAACUCCUCUUCUUUUAUAAAUAGAAAGUGGCACUGUCUCGUGCCUAUCGUUCAAAAUAUAAAUAUAUGAACAAUGCCAAUGAAUUAUUGAAUGAGAAACCAUUGAUUAAUUGGACAACUAAAGCCUGAUUAGUCCCAUUAUGUCGCAUGUAGCCCAAAUAAUAUAUCUUUCCGUGGCCAACUACGGAUUCGCUCUGGCUCAAGCCUUCUGCGAUGGGCCUCUGCUUCGCUCCGUCACAAGUCGGCUUUUAUAAUAUGCAGAUGAAUUUAGAACAUAUUCAAUAAACUAAAUCUUGAGACAAAUUCAUCUUGUAGCAUAAAUCAAUACCAUCAUCUUGAACAUAACAAAGAAAAUCCUCUUGGGCUAAUCCACUAAACCAAUUAAGCUUGAGCACAACUCAAACUUAGCAACAGGAACAUGUUUAGUCAUCAUAUCUGCAGGAUUAUCAUGAGUACUGAUCCUGGAUACCUUUAACUUACCAUCAUCGAUCACAUCAUGAACAAAAUGGUGUUUGAUGUCAACACAUUUAGUCCUCUCAUGGAACAUCUAAUCUUGGUAAGGUAAAUGACACUUUGACUAUCGCAAAAUAAAUUAAUGCAAGAAUCAACUCCACACAGCUCAGCGUACAAACCUUUCAGCAAAAUUAAUUCCUUGCACGCCUCAGAAACAACCAUGUACUCUGCUUCAGUAGUUGACAAAGCAACAACAGACUGCAAUGUAGCCCUCCAACUUACAACAUAACUGCGAACUGUGAACACAUAUCCAGUGAGUGACCUAUAUCUGUCCAGAUCAGCAGCAUAAUCUAAAUUCACAUAACAAUAAUUCCCUUUUCAGUUCUGCCAAAUUUCAAAUAAGAAUUUGUUGUGCCUCUGAGGUAACUGAAAAUUAACUGAAUUGCGCUUCAUUGUUAUUUACCAGGAUUAGACAUAUAUCUACUAACCAAACUCAUAGCAUAUGACAAAUCUGGACGAGAUCAAACCAUGACAUACGUCAAAGACCCAACAGCACUAGAAUAAGGAACUCUCGACAUGUAUUUAAUAUCUUGAUCUGUACUAGGACAUUGUGCAGCUAAGAAUUCAAAAUGAGGUGUAAUAGGAGUACUAACAGGCUUAGCAUUUUGCGUGUUGAAAUGCUGAAGAACUUUCUUAAUAUAAUUUUGCUGACUAAGAAAUAGCAAACCAGAAUUUCUGUCUCUAUUAAUUUCCUCCGGCAACGGGCUUUCGCUUCGCUGCGUCAGAAAUCAACCUUUAUAAAGUGCAACUGAAUUUGGAACAUAUUGAACAGACCCAACUUUGGCCCAAUGGCAGAUAAUCUGUGAGCAACCAGAGAUUACAAAAGUGAGAAUUGUAAGCUACAACAGUGCUAGUGAAAUUGCAAAACAGACUUUCCUUCAAGUCUCGCAGCAGACCACUCGCCGAGCUUCUGUCGAAGUCCAGAUAAUUGGCGGCUUGAACCACCAUCAUAGCGUCAGUCUCCAAGACCACCUUCUGUUCAGUUGCCCACUGCAAAGCUUGGAGGCAGGCAACAAUAUAUCUCGGCAUGGAAUGCCUAAAGUACCUUCCCCCACGCGUGCCGUAACCUGAGCAGAUGACCGCGCCGUCGCCUCCUCUCAUGACAUACCCCACUACAGAAUUUUUGUAAUUAAUAUACUCCCAUGGUACAUCUAGAUCUAGUAUCAUAAUGAACAAACCUUCAUGUUCACUUGGAGCCUUGGAGGGCAUAAAAAUUGUCACAAAUGAAAACAAAAAAAAACUAUACAUGUUGGUGCCCACCAUUUUGCCAUUAUGCAAAAACAAACCAAAGUACUGCACAAUUACUCAUGCACAUGCCAUUAUAUAUUAAAGAAUUAAACUAAUUAUCUUUGUUGAUUGUACUAAACAUACAUUUAGUAAAUAUAAUUGGAAUUCAAAUAACAUUAAAACAACACUGCCACUGUAUAUUUCCCACUGAAUCACCCGAUUUCUUUUGACUUGACCCAAGAGUUGUGUCUAAAGAUAUUUAUUUCAAGUAUUUCUUGCCACAUCUGGGGAGUUAGUAUAUCAAACUAAGAGCUUGUUUGGCAUAACUCAAUUUCACUAGUAAAACUAUUUUUUUUAGAAAAUAGCAUCAUGAGCAACUUUCUAACCUGAGCUAUUUUGAAAAAGGAACAUAUCUAGUGCAAACCACAACCUCCGUGAAAACCUGUGCAAACCAUGGCAAAAAAGUCAUCUAAAUUCACCAAAAAAAUCACACAUGUAGAUGUUAUGAUGAUACACAGCAUUGUAAAAUAUCUUAUCCAAACUCGAAUUCAUUUGUGAGAUAUAAAAAUAACAAAUUUCUAGCAAAUCUUGUGGACACCUUUCUGUCUUGAAAUUUGUUAUUUUUAUAUCUCACAAACAAAGAUGAGUUUGGACAAGAUAUUUCACAAUAUUGUAUAUCAUCAAAACAUUUACAUGUGUGAUUUUUUUGAUGAAUUUAGAUAACUUUUUUGCCAUGGUUUGCAUAGGUUUUUACGGAGGUUGUGGUUUGCACUAGAUAUGUUCCCUUUGAAAAAAGUGUUUGGUAAAAUAGCUCACCAUCUACUUUAUGCAUAGAUGAGAGAGAAAAAUGAGAGAGAGAGAGCUGCAAUAAGCUAUUUUUUUAGCAUCCGAACUAAUGUCUUUGUGAGAAGAGAAGAAAAACAGUUUCACCCAUGAAACUAUUUUAGAAAUAAGUGUUAAAAAAACAGCUCACACAACAGCUCGUGAAGCUGUCGUGAGCUGUACUAAACAGGCCCUAAGUCAAUAGCUUGCUUGCAAAGACCUGAGAAAGUGAGAGAUGCAAUUUUUUUUCUGGAUGACUAUAUUGUAUUUCUGCUCCAUGACGUCCAAUGCAAGCAUCUGGGCUUUUAAUUUUCUUACUAGGUGUGUAGUACGUUUCUUGGCCUGGUUGGUUGUGUCUAUGACCAUGUGAAACACGCGGCGUAGAUACAUGAGUAUGGGCACUAUCACUUUCCUUCCGACUUAAUAGAUUUUCUUACUAGAGUUGAUACAAAAUUUUGUCUUUGUCCAACUUAACUUAAAAACAUAAAUUUUAUUGUGUGGUGUCUAUUUUUUAGAGAUGCCUCUAGAUCUAGCCGCAUCUAAAAAUCUAUUAAUAUGAGUGGCUGGAUCUAGAGCAACAUCUAAAAAUAAGAGCAUUUAUAGAGGUGACUGAAAAUAUCUGCCAUCCCUACAAAUGCAUUUCUACAUGCAGUUUAUCUCGAGAACUAGAUGUAGAGUCGGUUUUAGGUAGAGCCUGCACUAUAGAAAAUAUGAGGUGUUUCUAUAAAUAUAUUUUAUAGUAGUGAUUGUACUAAAGAAGCAUUUAAUAGUUCAACAUUGCAAUUCAAAUAACAUUAUAGCAAUGUAGGUAGACUCCCCAAUUAAUUGUCUUAGGCAUUGGUUUUAAAAACUUCAGAAAUUUUCCUUUAUCCCCAAAAGCACCAUCCAAUUUAAAAUCUGAAUCAACCGAUUUCUUUUGACUUGGCAGAAAAGUUGUGUUGAAAGGUAUUUAUUUCAAGUAUUUAUAUUAAAGUUAGUCACUAUCUUGCAGACACCUGAGAGAAUGAGAGAUGCAUAUUUUUUGUGGAUGACUACUGGAUAUCUGCUCCCAUUUUAGUACGUGUAUGACACACGGCUCCAUGCCGUCCAAUGCAAGCAGCUGGGCUUUUAAUUUUCUUACAAGAUGUAGUACGUUUCUAGUCCUGAUUAAAUUGGUCGUGUCUAUCUAUGUCCACGUGAAACACGCGCAGCAGAUACAUAGCAUGGGCACUAUCACUUUCCUAACGACUUACGUAGAUUUCUGAAUCGAGAUCCGUCUAUAGAUAUAGAACUGUCUCUCUCCUCGUGGUCCAUGCUGGGGAGGAUUAGCUAGCUAAGGCCACAAUCAUGAACAUCUUCUCAACAAACAGUGGUAAGAAACACACUAUAUUAACCCAAGCCAAGAAUGCACGACCCAGGCAUAUCUAACCAGAGCACAGAAAACCAACACAAAAAGGAUACAUUGAGCAACAUACAAUAUAAUGGCAGCUCAGGCUUCAUCCAUUAUAGUCCCCACCGACGCCGAGCUGCUGCAGGCACAGGCUGAUCUAUGGCAAAACAGCCUGUGCUACCUCAAAUCCAUGGCGCUCAAGUGCGCAGCUGAGCUCGGCAUACCCACUGCCAUCUACCGCCUCGGCGGUGCUGCCUCGCUUGCCGACCUGAUCGCCGCACUGUCACUCCCACAGGCUAAGCUGCCGUUCCUUGGUCGUCUCAUGAGGCUGCUGGCCUCGUCGGGCGCCUUCGCCGUGGUUGGGUCUACUGAUGAGGCUGUCUACUCGCUCACACCACUGUCAUACCUCCUGGUGGAUGGCAUCGCUGGCGAUAGUAACCACAUGGACCAUGCACCUUUCCUGCUGACAGUGACUUCGACGCACUACAUUGACUUGGCAAUGGACCUAGCUGAUUGGUUCAAGAAGGAAGACAAGACACCCCCUUUCGAUCACAAGCACGGAGCAUCGCUGUUCGAGGACAGCAUGGAGCGCACGGAUCCCGGGUUCCACAAGAUGUCAAAGCUGGGUUUACUGGUCCACGACAACUUUGGAACCAACAUUGGCGUGCGGGACUACCAGUUCGUUUUCCAGGGUGUAAAGUCAGUGACUGACUGCUGUUACCAUGGGGAUGGCACCACAGGGAAGGCCAUCGCCAUGGCCUUCCCACAGAUCAAGGUCACUGUGCUAGAUCUUCCACAGGAGAUUCGCAAGAUACCGGCUGAUGGUGUUGUCAAUUAUGUUGGAGGUGACAUGUUCAAGUCCAUCCCACCUGCUCAAAUGGUGACACUUAAGGUAUAUAUAAACAAUAUAUGGAACUAGUGUUUCUAUGAUGUAUUAUAUAUGAUGAACUUAACUUGUACAAUUUUUUGUGAGCUUGUUGACUAAUGUCAUUGAGGUUUCAAUUUCCAUGGAAGAUGGUGCUGCACCACUGGAGUGAUGAGGACUGCGUGAAGAUCCUUGCCAAUUGCAAGAAGGCAAUACCUUCAAAGGAAGAUGGAGGGAAAGUUGUCAUCGCUGAUAUUAUUCUUGACCCUGCCUCAGGACCAGUAAUGUUUGAAACUCACCUCCUAAUGGACGUCUGCAUGAUGCUGAUGAAAGGAGGCCGGCAGCGGGACUUGAAUGACUGGCGUGACCUCAUCCUGAAAGCAGGGUUCAGUGACUAUAAGCUGCUCAAGAACUUUGGAGCUCGUGGUGUCCUGGAGAUCUAUCCCUAAGACCUACAUUAUCCUCGACGAUCGGCGCAUCUUUAUAUUGUGGUUUGGCGCGAAGAAACCUACAUAUAGUACUAAAAUAAAGGGAGUGUGUCAUAGUUUUCUGAAUGAUCGUUUCAUGGAACACUGACUAGCAGCUUAGCUGUGACAAGCUUGGUUGCUCCAUGAUCUGUUUAACUUUCAUUUGGAGAAGUAUCUUGGCACAUCAUGAGAUGCUACGUGCAUCAUGUUAAUACAUACCCACCGUCCAGGAGUGUUGGAAAAUGUGUGUACUAUCUUGUAAUUGGUCUUGUAUAUCGGAAAGCAGGAGCAACUAUUUUACCGAUACCAGAUACAUAUCAAUAAAAAAAAACAGGAGAGACUCUGAACUACUGUUUUUAUGUAUUUCCUUCGGCCCAAACAAUUGCACAUUAGUUUUUGAUAAGUUAAAUCUUUUUUAGUUUUACUUGAUUUAUACACUACCAGAAAUCAGAGAUUUCAUAAGAAAUAGUUGGAUUUUGUGUGUAUGUCUGUGUGUGUCUGUGUGUACGUGUGUGAGAAAGAGAGAGAGAGUUGUGCACUGCGGCUGAGGAAGAGGGAAAGAGGUUAUAUAGUUUAGGGUUUUUUUAGGUGGACUGACUUGGGCCGAUAGCCUAUAUAGUAAUAGGCUGAAUUGCUACUACAAAUGAAUUAAUACAAAUAAACAUUCUCUUUUUUAUUUUUUGAAUAAAAUUAGAAAUAAUAUAUGUACGAAGACAUGUUCUAUUUGAUCCUGAAAAUCAAUGCAAAAUUAAUGCUGACUUUCGGUGACUCUAAUGAAAAAAUUAAUAAUAUCAUAGGCGGUCGAAAACUUCUAAGAAUUGGUAUGGAGGCACCAUGUUUGUGUAUAAGUUUGCCAUAAAAAAUAUAAAUUGUUUUACUAAGGUGGAACUAUAUACUGUUCAUAAAUGGAUACAUCCCUAACAUAGUUUUGUAUGGCUCUGAGAGAUGUACCAUUUGUUCAAAAUGUAGGGUAUAUCUUUUUUAAAGCCAUUUACAUUUUUUUGAAGCAUUAUACACAAAAACAUGUACUAGUACACAGAAAAAUUAGUACAAGCUGUUUUAAACUGUAAUACCCAAUUUUCAAAACCAGAUAUGCACCAUAUGUGAGUCAUAGAAGUCAAAUCUCACAUAUAGCUAUAAAUAAGGGGUAAUAUUUGUCGAGGGUAUCAACAAGGGGUACCCUCACCAAUGCGUAUAACGAGACCAUCCGUACACACGCGCGGCCAUCGACGGUCGCAGCCUCGAAGACGGAAAUAGCGUCGAGCGAAUCGGUCAGGGCUCGAGUGACAACUGCCGUCGAAUACGGAAGCGGGCUCGAGCGAACCGAGAGGCGUCGAGCGCAAGGACACUGUCCGCCGCCUGACGCGCGCACGAGAGCCAGGGCAUUUAAUGCACCUUACGCUUCCCCACCUAACACAUGGGUCACGAGAGGCUUCUGUCCCAUCGUUCUUUUUGCAGCCUUCCCACCGAACGACCCAGGGCGUGUCAGGACGCGAGAAACAAGGAUGGAACGUCUAAUCGGGACCCCCUCGAGACACCCAGGGUCAGCGCUCCAGACAUCGAUACCUCGUACGGCGUCCGACCCUCGACUUCACCAGGCUCCUUCCUGGAGACGAGUCGGGCGUCGACUGACCACGCCGUAACCGCCCCGCCGGAUUUGCCGCCGAGCCAUAUAAGCGUGCAUCCGCCGAACCAAUCCAAGACGGCGCGCAGAGCAGAAUGCAGGGGCACGCGUGAUCAUCACCGGGCUAUUAAGACAGGACGGCUCGAGGUCAUGCCGGUACGGAAACCUCGAGUAGCUCAGCGCUCCAUGCUGCUAUCGACUCCAAUUCCUACACCUAUACAUGUACCCUAGGACCUUCCUUGGAACUAUAAAAGGAGGGACUCAGGAAUAGAACAAGAACAGAACACAAGACCACGCUCAUACGUAGUAGAGCUCCACACUUCAUACCACGCUUGUAUUCACCCCUGUACAAGCACUUAGGUGCAAGAUAAUACAAACUCUCUCCCCCCGCUGGACGUAGGGCCUUAUCUUGCCCGAACCAGGAUAAAUCUCUGUGUCUUCUUGCAUCACCAUCCGGGAAAGGGAGCACGCAUACAAAUUUACUCGUUGGUGUGACCCCCCCGGGGGAAAACACCGACAGUUGGCGUGCCAGGUAGGGGCCCUGCGUGUUUUUCAUCGAUUUCCCACUCCUUUCCGGAUGGCUACUCUUGCCUCGCCGUUUUCGCGCUCCACGGUGAUUUGGUUUGGGAGCCUCGAGUUCAUGUCUACGGGCUCCGGCUACGACAUGAUCUUGCUCUCAGUCAAAGGACCAGGAGGAGCCCGCGUUACGCCAGCACGGUUGAAGGCCCCGAGACGCCCUCACCACCACGCCUCCCCGCCUAAGAAGAGGCGCGGACAGCACCGCCGCGGCCCCUCUGCUUCAGCACGACCAACAACUCGUGUGAGGCAGGACGUAGGCCACAAGUCGGCAGCACCGUGUGGCGGAGCAACAAGCGCGACGACUCAGCACCACGCGACGACGGGAGGGGACGCGUCUCGCGCGCUCUCCCCCACCGCAGCUAGGCUACUUCCGCACGGGUUGUUCUCUCCAAGAGCGGCACUGCCGUUCGGAUUGGACAACGCCGCGGCGUCGCUCGCCAGGGCGAUAUGCCCAAACGCCCAGACGUACGUAGAAAGACCAAUGGUCCUCCCACGUAGCUCUGAAGCGCGGCGGUCAGCGUCCGAGCUGCUGGACCUUUCCCGAGUACGAGGCCUCCGUCGUCUAGGCCCCGGACGAUACUCGAUCACCUCCCUCAGGCAACGAUUGCUGGAGGAAGGACGUGGGUGUUUCUACGCCGCCGAACCGGACUCCGACUCCGAGACAGACAACUAUGACCCUACGAGGGAAUGCUAUCACAUCGACGGGGCGGUAGAAACCACUGACGAGACACGGGAUGCUGCUGCGGGUGGUCGAGCCCCCGCGGCGCGAGAAGACCCCAGGACGCCUGGGAACGACGGACAGGUCGACCCCCCUCCUCAGGAAGACAGAACCGCGCAGCUCGCGCAGCUGCGGGAGCUCAAGAUGAAGCUCGACGAAGACCGCGAGCGCCUCGUCCUGCUCGAGCAAAUCCUCGAGCAAGACCUGCCCUACCCGCCGGGCAGAAGUGUCCGCAGACACGCUCGAGAGGUACAUCGACAGAUCGUCGGCGACUCAGAGCUAGAGCAACCUGUCAGCCGUUUCCCUCGAGCAGGCCAGAAUGUAGUGGCAGCGACGAUGCUGCUACGUAACAUGCUAGAGCCAUCAAAUUCCCAGGCCCGACGCAUUCGAGAUGAGGUACAAACAUUGCUCCAGGUGGCGGCGGUUCAACAAGCCGAAAGUUCGGCGUCUCGACGGCGAGGAGCUGCCACAGAGAAGCGCGACGAACAGCCUCUAAACGAAGAGGAGGUGUCAGUCCAACAACAACCUCCCCCUCGAGGUAGAAAGACCGCUCUCAUCCUCCCCGUCGACGGUCAACGUCGACACGACGCGCGGCACGGCAUCAAAGAAAAUCGACGCCGUCGGCACGGAGACGCGGAAGAGCGCGGUUAUAGCGCGCAUCGCGGUGGGAGAUACGACAGCGACGAGGACCGGGUGGCCCCCGAGCCACCAGGCCCACGGGUGUUCAGCAGGGCGAUCCGCAGCACGCCCCUGCCCAAUCCAUUUUGACCCCCGACCAGCAUCGCGAAGUACAAUAGAGAGACCAAACCAGAGUUGUGGCUGGCCGACUUCAGGCUGGCCUGUCAGCUAGGUGGCGCUCGAGGUGAUGAUCGAGCCAUCAUCAGACAGCUACCCCUUUUCCUCUCCGACACCGCCCGUCGAUGGCUCGAGGAACUCCCUGCCAAUCAGAUCCACAAUUGGGUUGAUCUGGUUAGAGUCUUCGAGGGUAACUUCAAAGGGACCUACAUACGACCAGGGAACUCAUGGGACCUCAGCAAGUGCAAGCAGAAGUCAGGAGAAACUCUUCGGGAGUACGCUCGACGCUUCUCGAAGCAGCGCACUGAGCUGCCGCACAUCCCUGACCACGACGUCAUCUUGGCGUUUGUCUUGGGCACCACGAGUCGAGACUUGGUGCGGGAAUUAGGUCGCAAUCGACCUCAGACCGUCGACGAGCUGAUGGACGUAGUAGCCAACUACGCGGCAGGGGAGGAGGCAGUCAGCGCCUUCUUCAGCUCAGAAGGAAGAAAAGGCAAGCAGCCCGUCGAAGAAGAUGGGACCCCUAGUCGAGGCCUCAAGAAGAAUAAAAAGAAGCAGAAAGUGCGGCAGUUCCACCGGGAAGAUUCCGAUGACAACCUUGUCGCCGCCAUGGAUCGAAAGAAACCUCGAGGCCCUCCGGAUGGAGGCAUCUUUGACAAGAUGUUGGAGGAGCCGUGCCCUUACCAUAAGGGAGGCACCAACCACAAGCUCAAGGACUGUCGUAUGCUGAGAAAGCAUUUCGACGGUCUGGGGUUCAAAAAAGAUACGCGUGAUGACUCCAAGAAAGAGAAGGCUGGCAGCAAGGAGGACAACAAAGAUGACGACGGCUUCCCCGCCGUCCACGACUGCUACAUGAUCUAUGGCGGGCCCUCGACUCAAUUGACCACGAGGCAGCGCAAAAGGGAGCGUCGCGAAGUCUUUGCAGCAAGAAUGGCGGUGCCCCAAUACCUUAGCUGGUCAAGCACUCCUAUCACUUUCGACCGAGAAGACCACCCCGACAAGGUAGUCGCCCCAGGCGUCUACCCGCUCGUCGUCGACCCCAUCAUCGUCAAUACCCGGCUCUCGAAAGUGCUGAUGGAUGGCGGUAGCAGCCUCAACAUCAUCUGCCUCGAGACCCUUGACCUCCUCGGCAUAGAUAGAGGGAAGCUCCAACCAAGUGCUGGCGGGUUCCAUGGCGUCAUGCCAGGAAAAAAGGCACUGCCAGUAGGUCGAAUUGACUUACCGGUCUGCUUCGGCACGGCGGCCAACUUCAGGAAGGAGACCCUCACCUUCGAGGUGGUUGGGUUUCGAGGCAUGUACCACGCCAUCAUCGGGCGCCCGGGCUACGCCAAGUUCAUGGCUAUACCCAACUACACCUACUUGAAGCUGAAGAUGCCCGGUCCCAAAGGCGUCAUCACUGUCAGUUCCUCCUUGGAGCACGCGUACGAGUGCGACGUCGAGUGCGUCGAGUACGGGGAGGCGGUCGAGAACUCCACCGAGCUCGUCGCGAAGCUCGAGGCCCUGGCCGCUGAGGCUCUAGAGCCUAAGCGCCACGCGGGCAGCUUCGAGGCGGCGGAAGGAACCCAGAAGAUCCUGCUCGACCCCAACAACUCCGACGGCAAAGUGCUGACGAUCAGCACCGACCUCGACCCCAAAUAGGAAGCUGUGCUCGUCGACUUUCUCCGUGCAAAUGCCGACAUGUUUGCAUGGAGUCCCUCGGACAUGCUAGGCAUACCGAGGGAAGUCGCCGAGCACUCCUUGGAGAUUCGAGCCGGUUCCAAGCCAGUGAAGCAGCGGUUGCGCCGAUUCGACGAGGAGAAGCACAAGAUCAUUGGAGAGGAAGUCCACAAGCUUUUGACGGCCGGAUUCAUCAAGGAGGUUCAUCAUCCUGACUGGUUAGCAAACCCUGUAUUAGCUAAGAAAAAGAAUGGGAAAAUGAGGAUGUGUGUCGAUUAUACUAGUCUGAAUAAAGCAUGUCCAAAAGUUCCCUUUCCAUUGCCAUGCAUUGAUCAGAUUGUCGAUUCUACCGCGGGAUGUGAAACCCUUUCUUUCCUUGAUGCAUAUUCUGGUUACCACCAAAUAAAAAUGAAGGAGUCCGACUAGCUCGCGACCUCUUUCAUCACGCCUUUUGGGAUGUAUUGCUACGUGACCAUGCCAUUUGGGCUUCGAAACGCGGGAGCCACGUAUCAACGUUGCAUGCUCCACGUGUUUGGCGAACAUAUAGGGUCCACGGUCGAGGCCUACGUCGACGACAUUGUCGUCAAGUCAAAGCGACGAGGAGACCUGAUCCAGGACCUCGAGAUUGCCUUUAGCUGCCUACGCACCAGCCGGAUCAAGCUCAAUCCCGAGAAGUGCGUUUUCGGUGUGCCUCGAGGCAUGCUCCUAAGUUACAUCGUUUCGCAGCGCGGCAUCGAGGCCAACCCCGAGAAAGUCUUGGCCAUCACGAGAAUGGGGCCGAUCCGAGACAUCAAGGGUGUACAGAGAGUCACGGGGUGCCUGGCGGCUCUGAGCCGUUUCAUCUCGAGACUAGGAGAAAAGGCAUUACCAUUAUAUCGACUCCUAAAGAAGGUCGAGCGUUUUUCUUGGACCCCCGAAGCCAAGGAAGCACUCGAAAGGCUGAAGAAGACGCUGACCUCGGCACCAGUCCUGGUUCCACCUCAACCUGCAGAGCCGCUGCUCCUCUACGUCGCGUCGACGACCCAGGUCGUUAGCGCGGCGGUGGUGGUCGAAAGACAAGAGGAGGGUCAUGCGCUGCCGGUCCAAAGGCCGGUCUAUUUCGUCAGCGAGGUGCUUUCGGAGACCAAGGCGCGUUAUCCCCAAAUCCAGAAGUUGAUCUACGCCGUAAUCCUUGCCCGCCGCAAGCUGCAGCAUUACUUCCUCGGUCACCCCAUCACGGUGGUUUCGUCUUUCCCUUUAGGAGAAAUAAUCCAGAGCAAAGAGGCCACGGGAAGAAUAGCAAAAUGGUCGGUCGAGCUCAUGAGUGAGACUCUCACUUACGCACCUCGGAAGGCCAUGAAAUCGCAAGCCCUGGUAGACUUCGUCGCGGAAUGGACAGACUCCCAGCUUCCCCCGACUCAGGUCCAGGCGGAGCUGUGGACAAUGUAUUUCGACGGGUCACUCAUGAAAACUGGGGCCGGGGCCGGCCUGCUGUUCAUCUCACCCUUAGGCGUCCACAUGAGGUAUGUAAUCAGGAUUCAUUUUGCCGCAUCUAACAAUGUCGCAGAAUAUGAGGCCCUGGUCAACGGUCUCAAGAUCGCUAUCGAGUUAGGAGUCCGACGCCUCGACGUCCGAGGUGACUCCCAACUCGUCAUCGACCAAGUAAUGAAAACCUCGAGCUGCCACGACCCAAAAAUGGAAGCGUACUGCAAGGAGGUCCGUCGACUCGAAGACAGGUUCCACGGUCUCGAGCUUGUCCAUGUCGCUCGACGCUACAACGAGGCAGCCGACGAACUCGCCAAGAUCGCAUCGACCAGAGGCACGGUGCCGCCUGAUGCAUUUUCAAAAGAUCUUCACGAGCCAUCCGUCGACCUAGGCAUGGGGGCUGGCGUCGACGCCACCACCGCCCAACCAACCAAUGCUGUCGAUACGCUCUUGAUGGUGGAAGAGAUGAUGGAGAUAGAACGACGACCAGGUCGACCAUUCGAUUGGCGCACACCGUUCCUCGACUGCCUUAUCCGCGGCGAGUUGCCAGAAGACAGGUCAGAAGCUCGUCGUAUUGCUCGACGGGCCAAAUCAUAUGUGAUCUAUGGCGAAGACAACGAGCUAUAUCGACGGAGCCCGACGGGGGUCUUACAACGUUGCAUCACUGUGGAAGAAGGCCGAAAACUCCUCGAUGACCUGCACUCGGGGGCUUGCGGUCACCACGCCGCUCCACGGACCCUUGUAGGGAACGCUUUUCGACAAGGCUUCUACUGGCCAACGGCCGUGGCGGACGGCAUCGAGCUCGUACGAUCAUGUCACGGGUGUCAGUUCUACGCCAAGCAGACGCAUCUGCCUGCCCACGCUCUUCAGAUGAUCCCCAUUACCUGGCCGUUUGCGGUGUGGGGGCUCGAUUUAGUAGGACCUCUACAAAAGGCGAAAGGAGGAUUCACCCAUUUGCUGGUGGCCAUUGACAAGUUCUCCAAAUGGAUCGAGGCUCGACCCAUCACCAACAUCCGCUCCGAGCAGGCCGUCCUUUUCUUCACCGACAUUAUCCAUCGGUUUGGGAUCCCCAAUGUCAUCAUCACCGACAACGGCACCCAAUUCACCGGCAAAAAGUUCUAGGACUUCUGCGAUCGGCAUCACAUCCGUGUGAACUGGUCUGCAGUAGCCCACCCUCGAACUAACGGCCAAGUCGAGCGUGCCAACGGCAUGAUUUUGCAAGGACUCAAGCCAAGGAUCUACAAUCGAUUGAAGAAAUUCGGCAAAAAAUGGGUCGAGGAGCUUUCCUCAGUCCUAUGGAGCCUUAGGACAACACCAAGCAGGGCCACAAAAUACACCCCAUUCUUCAUGGUCUACGGCUCUGAGGCUAUCCUCCCCACAGACCUCGAGUAUGGGUCACCUCGACUCAAGGCCUACAACGAGCAAUCGAACAAAGAGACUCAAGAAAACGCGGUCGACCAACUUGAGGAGGCUAGAGACAUGGCCCUCCUCAACUCUGCCAGAUAUCAGCAAAGGCUUCGACGCUACCACGACAAGCAUGUGUGCAAGAGGGACCUCAACGUGGGCGACCUAGUCCUACGACGCCGGCAAAGCAAUCAGGGACGCCACAAGCUGACUCCGCCUUGGGAAGGUCCGUACGUGGUAGCCGAGGUCCUGAAGCCGGGAACGUACAAGCUGGCGGACGAAAAGGGGGCAAUUCUCACCAACGCAUGGAACAUCGAACAGCUACGUCGAUUCUACCCCUAGAAGUUCUAAACUUAUGUUCCUGCUUACAUUUUGUACCAAGACUUUGUAAACGAAUGAAUAAAUAAAGUCUUUCCCUCGAAACAAUUCUUCUUUCUUUGCGCCGAGAAGAUUAAUAAGUCACGAUCUCGACGUUAAAAGGGGGCGCCGACUAUGACCCAUCAUAGUCAGCACCCCCUCGGGGGCUACCAGGGGGACGACACCCCCCCCCGAGUAUCGAAAAAACCAAGAAGUUUUCUUUUCUUACGUAGUAAACCUUGCACGGUUCGAGUAGCUAAGGCACCUCGAGCCCCUCAAAGGCCGAGGGACAACGAGCUGGAGAACUCCUACGCCCCCGAGCUACGGAAACUCUACUCGCUUCCCCACCAUUGAAGUGAUCGAGGCGGCCAGGUAACGAAAAAUCGAGCAAGGGAUACAAACGUAGGCGCAAAGAGAAACGAAAGCAUCAAGCGGAAAGACAAAAUAAGCAUCUAACAAUUACGAAAGUGAUACAGCAUCAGUUACCCACAGAAUUAACAAAGUAUUGUACAAGGGGCCUCAGGCGCCCUGAGCAGGCUCGCAGGCCUCAGUCCGCGGCACGAUCCUCACCGCUCUCGCCUCCGCCCGAGCUAGCCUCAGGAGGGAGCACCUCAGGCUCGAAAAGCUUGGCCAACCUUUCCCCAGGAGCCUCCGCGUCGUCGAUCAAGGCAUGGAGCCUCUCCUCGUUCUCUGCGUCGGUCUUGGAGAUGUCGGUGACGAAGCCAUGGGACACCACCUCCAUGUCGUAGGAGAAGCCCGAGCAGACAACCGCCAUCGCCCGCUUCACCCCGAUGUGGAGGGCGUCCCGCACCCAAUCUCGCAGCGUCGCGCCUAUGUAGCACAACUGGUCGACCAGGGCGUCGCCUCGAGCGUCCUCCCUCGACUCAUCCAUAGGCUCGACCUCCCAAGAGGUCGAGAGAUCACUUAUCGCCGUCCGUACUCGACGGUUCAAAGCAACCUCCGCCUCGAGCUGAGCCUUGGCGUUGCGAGCCUCGGCUUGGGCGGCCAGGAGCUCGUCCUUGAGCCCUGUAAAAGCCAAUACAAAGAGACCUUAGGAAAAACUAAGCACACCUCGGAAAAAGAAAUCUGAUAAAGGAAACAUACCGCGUACGGUCUCCUCGAGGGCCGUGUUCUCGCCGACCAGCCUGGUGUUGGCCCCCUCGAUCUCUUUGUUGGAGCGUGCCAGCUCGGUGUUGGCAACGCGGAGGUCCUCGAUCGCCUUGCCAGCCUGAGCAAUGGCCCCACUUGUUGAUGCAAAACUGAUCUACAAACACAAAGGGCUAAUACCCGAUUCAAACGUUAAGGCGUGCCAGCCGAUUUGACCUUGCUAUCGGCAAAGGUGAUAACUCGAAUACUUUAGUCCUGACAACAGCGAUGCGCCCGGAUGUCACGGCUAAGAGGUACUCACGCGGAACUCGAGAACACGCCGAGCUUAAGUCGACGAAUUCCUAAGAACUCGUAAUAAAAAGAAAAAGGUAUGACGAAGUCGUCGAAAAGUAGAUGCUGGAAUAUGAGUAAAAACGUGUGUUUGAUUGAUUUCUUGAUUGAUUAUUACAAGGUCCUAGGGUUUAUAUUUAUACCCUACUCAAAGAGCUACAACCAGACACGAUUAGAAUUCGAAUUCCAAAUUACACGGAAUCCGUAUACAAAACGAUGCAAAUAAUUAAGGAAAUAAUAAAACUAUCCUUCGUGACAAACCGAAACUCCUCCACAUGACAACUGGCAGCUUCCAGACUCCUCCCUCGCAUCAUCGGCAAUCCCCUUGCCAUAGUCAUCGGCAGACCUUUUUAUCCAGCUAUCGGCACCAUAUUACUGCCUGUGGACUUUGUCACAUUCAACCUCUCCCUCAUCGGCAACCAUCCUCAUCAGCAACCCGCAUCGUACUGCCACCCUAUCCUGCCAUCCUAGACACGUGCCCAAAAAUGGUGUCAACACAUGCCCCCCAGUUUCGGAGUAUAAAACUAUUAAUGCUCCGAAAUUCUCUGCAGUAAUGAUGCCUUCUCCGCAAUUAAUGCUCCUAAUCUAGUAACCGACAACCUCAAUCUGGACAACUCUGAUCCUAAUCCUCCGCAGAUUCCUCGAAAUCCCCAACUUCCUAAACGGGCAUCUUUCUUGGUCGUACAUCGGCAACAAUACAGUUACAAAGAUCUGCCGAUGCUCUGACUAGGAUAUUCGCAAAAACGGUUACCUCCCCUCUAUCCGCCCAUCGGCAAGAUGACCGUUAUAGAAUAUCGCCGAUGGACCGACCAGGAGAUCUCGCACAGUAAAAUAUCUUUAGAUAAUGACCGCUUCCCGUCAAAUCACCUGCACAAUCCCUGGAUUACCGUGCGAACAGUUACCAUAUCUACCUGAGUACCCUCGGGCUUCUCGGAUGCGACAAAGAGAUAAGUCGGAUUUGCCCUUGCCCGUCUUGUCCUAUAAAUAGUUCCUUCUUGGGUACUCCUCCCCCAUUACACCAUUCUACUAUCCAACUUUGCUUUUCCAGCGGCGGCGCCAUUUACAACCCUCAAGAUCUCCGACAAGCAUUCCUCUUCAUCAACUCCGGUGCCCUCCAACGUCCUCUUCACGACAAGAUGGCCAUUGGCUUCGUCGUCCCUGAGGUCAGACUUCCAUCUCAUCUCCUGUACCUUUUCUCGCAUUCCUGUUCAUCUGCGAUUCAUCUUACUGAAUAUCUUCCUUUUCCUUUUUCUUUGUAUUUUUAUUCCCCAAAACACUAGGAGUUGUCCAACAAAAUUGUCAUCCCUACCGAUCAACCACACCUUCAGUGCCUCGGCCCUCUAGGGAAUCCAGAUCCAACCGACCUUAUCAAUGCAGAAACCAACAGGAUUCCCUUUAGAGCCGAAAACUUUUCUUUAGAUCUGUGGAAAGACACCUUUCGCUCUUGGCCCAGCCCUACUGUAGGGUGGAAAGAUUGGUUCUUGAGGGUCAGCAAUUCUUAUGAAGUCCAGUGGGGUGAGAGGAAGCUAGCUCAAUGCAUUAGGCUAUCCAUUGCCGAUAUGCACAGGAACGAGUCACUGCUGAUAGCUGCAUCCUACUUUUGGUCAGACACUCUCAAUGCUUUUGUUUUUGGCCAGGGCCCUGCUUCUCCUACCCUUGCCGAUGUAGCCAUGCUUACUGGGCUAGAUAUAUCUUCUGCCGAUAGCACCCACUUUUUUGAUACUGCCCCCAGUACCAAAGUGGAGACUCGCGCUAUCGGCGGUUGGUCAGGGUACAUCCAGAAGUACCGCGGGAGAGGGCCUGUCACCAUAAAGGAGCAAACCACCUUUCUGAACAUGUGGCUGGACAAGUUUGUAUUCUGUGGUCGAUCGGCAGGACCGACUUCUGUCUAUCUAUCGGCAGCAGAAAGACUGGCUAGCGGUGGCCAAUUUUCUCUCGGCCGAUAUUUGCUCAGCGCUGUUUACCACCUUCUUCAUCAGGUAGCCCAGAAACUCCUGCUUGGCCAAUCCAUCGGCAACUUGGGAGGCCCCUGGUGGUUUAUUAAUAUGUGGCUCAAUCUGCACCUGCAUAAGCGCCUUGAUUUCAACUUGUUCUCACAGCACUUCCCAAGAGAUAUAGCCGAAAAUCAUGUGUUGGGUGAAGAGGAAUCGGCAACGCGUGCCCCCUUGAACUUUGGCGAAGCCGUUAUAGUCUUACCCGGUUAAGGGAACAAUCCGGAUCAGAUCGGCCGAUUCUUUGAGACUCUGUAUGAGGGUCUGGCCAGAGAUGAACGACCAUGGCUGGCUUAUGACGACCCAGAUAGCAUGCUCCCUCUGACCUUCAAUCCAUUUGAUGAAGCUCUCGACAGGGACAAUGAGGUGAUGAUGGCAAUUGUGACUCCCAGAGCCAUACCAGUGAAUUUCUUCGGUAGCACAAAAACCUCUCCCCAAACCUAUGAAUUUUAUAAUCCAUCGGCAUUAGCUCGCCAGCUAGCUUUCGGCCAGUUGCCGAUUGCACUUCCUUAUGCCGAUGUGAUAAAGCCCAGAGAACCCAUCGCCAACCUUCUCGAGUGGACUCGAGUAGCCCAGCUACCACCAAAUGCCGAUACAGAUGUAGAUCUGUCAGAAUGGGUUCCAGCUGCCUUUAUCACUCAGGCAUACAAGCUAUGGUGGGCAGAAUGGAAAGAGAAUCUAUUCUGCAGAUCGGCCCUCUCAUACCGUGGCAUGAUCGACCCCGAAUACGAAGUCCCUGAUGACACUGUAAGUAUUUUAAACUGAUGUCUCAUUUUCCAAUACUAUUUCCAUCGGUAACUUACCCCUGUAUUCCUUUUGCAGGUUGACAACACCCCCCCAUCGGUUAGCAGGAGUGGCAAGCCGAUCUACUUGUUACCAUCAGGCCCGAUCUCCUCAAUCGGCCAUAAUGCUCCCACUCUGGCUUCCAUCGUGCAUCGGGGUGCGCGCCUCAAGAAAGUUACCACCAGGAAAACUCAGACAUCACCAACGGUAGCUGCUUCCACUCUGGCGCAAGCUUUCAGGGCAAUUUGUCAAAACCUUUUCAUUUAUGCUAACUAUCUUUGUAUCGGCUAUCUAUGCUCAUAAACUCCUUUUUGUUGUUGCAGCAAACUGGUGCAUCGGCAAAAGCCAAACGCCAAGGUACCGAUGCCCCCCAGUCUAGCCAGCCAAAGAGGAAGGGCACCCAAGGUGCUAAGGCUGGAACAAAGCGCCAGAAAGUGGCAACUCCCCCUCCUCCUCCGGUGUCUCCAAUCCCGGUAGAAUCUUCCCCUUCUUCUCCAGAUGUCCAGACACAGCAAGCACCAUCUCCCCAACCAAUGCAGGAAGCACCACAGAUGGAAGAACCCCAGCAGGAAGAACCUCAAACAGAAGGUACAUCAGCUGACGUGGGUGAACAAACAACUGGCCCGGCAGGUCCAGUUAUAUCAUCGGCGGUUUCCCCAAUUCAGACAACUGUUGUUCCUCCUCCGGGUAACAUAUCUCAACAAUACUUCCGCCGAUAAACUUAUUCUCAUUUAGUCUCAUAACCCUUCCUGUCUUCUUUCAGGCGAUAUCGUUCCAUCGGCAACAUCUGCCGAUCAACCUGUAGCUCCAUCGGUAUCUUUGAGUCAAAGGCAAGAAAUUGCCCUGAAACAAGUAAGUCAUCCAAUUUUUCCACCAGCAUCGUCUGCCGAAGCUUUGACCAUAAAAAUGACUUAUUUCAUUCUCAUUUUCAGGAACAAGAUUCUCCCGAUAGCUUAUUCUCCUUCGCCAUUGAUAUCUUCGAAGAAGAAGGUGAGGAAGCAAGCUCCUCUCGGGCAAUUGGGACUGUAUCGGUAGAAACCAGGGCUAAGCUGGAGGAGCUAUCGGCCAUACUUCAUCAAGACACUGCUCAACUGGUCAACGAUUCUGACCCAGCCAAGGCCCUGUUCAAAACCCUUAGAGGCCAAAUUCCUGCCGAUGCUGAAGAAACCCUCUUCCAUGCUGCAUACCUAGAAAGCCGCCAGCUACAGUACUAGAGAGCCACUCGACGCCUUGCCGAUAGAGCCGCUCAAAUCCAGCUUUCUGAGGAGAUGAUAAAAGAAAAACUCUUAGCCGACGAGAAACUUAAGAACAUCGGCACCUUAAAGUCCUCAGGUGAUGCACUGAAGCAGAAAGUAUCUGAUCUAUCGGCAAAAAGAGAAGCUCUACUGGCCGAACUCAAGCAAGUAGAGGAUGCUCUGUCCCAAGCCCAGCAAGAAGAGAGUCAACUGCCGGAGACCAUCAAGCACCUUGAACAAGAACGAAACGUCCACGGCCGCAAAGCGCUGCAGCUGAAGAGGAAGCUGAAGCCGAUAGAAGGUUCUGCCGAUGAUGAUAUCAAAGAGAUAGAGACAGCCAAUCAGAUCCGGCUGCGCGCCAUAUCGGCAAUCCAAGCGCUGCUGAACAUCUGAAGCUUUCAUCGGCAACACACCUUUGUUUUCCCGCUUUUAGCUUUUAGUCUAGCCGAUAAGACUGUUAUCGGCAUCUUUUGAAACAUUAAGUCUGCCCCCAAACAUUUAAAUCCAGCCGAUAGGAGUGUUAUCGGCACUUAAACUUUUAUGCAUCGACCCAUAUGCUGGGGUAGUACUUCUUUAAAUAUUUGCCAUUUAAUGCUCUGGGAAAUUCAACUCCUUCGAGAGUUUCUAGAAUAUAGGCAUUACCAGGAGCCGAGUGUCUUAUCCGAUAAGGACCUUCCCAAUUAGGAGACCACUUCCCAAACUUCGAACUUUUAGUCCCGACUGGCAAAAUCAACUUCCAUACCAAAUCCCCAUCGGCAAACUCCUUAGCCUUUACUUUCUUAUCAUACCAUCUAGCAACUCUCUUCUUAUUUUCUUCUAUACUCAUUAAAGCCUUUAACCGAUGCCCUGCUAAAUCAUCUAACUCAUCGGUCAUCAAAGUGGCAUAAUCAUCGGCAGCCAAUUGAUCUUGAAAAGAUAAUCGCCUAGAUCCAGCCUUAAUCUCCCAAGGCAACACUGCAUCAUGUCCAUACACCAAUUGAUAGGGUGACACCUUGGUUGAUCCAUGACAAGCCAUCCGAUAAGACCAUAGUGCUUCAUUUAACAAUGUAUGCCACCGCCUAGGAUUUUCUUCAAUCUUUCGUUUAAUAUGCUUGAUAAUUCCUUUGUUAGACGCUUCGGCCUGCCCAUUGGCUUGAGCAUAGUAAGGAGAAGAAUUCAACACUUUAAUUCCCAUACCGAUUGCGAAUUCAUCGAACUCCCCUGACGUGAACAUGGUGCCCUGAUCGGUAGUAAUCGUUUGGGGAAUCCCAAAUCGGUAAAUAAUAUGCUCCUUCACAAAAUCAAUCAUAUUGGCCGAUGUGACUUUCUUCAAAGGAAUAGCUUCGACCCACUUAGUGAAAUAGUCAGUGGCAACUAGAAUGAACUUAUGCCCUUUGCUAGAUGGUGGAUAAAUCUGGCCGAUCAGAUCGAUGGCCCAUCCCCGGAACGGCCAAGGUUUUAUUAUAGGAUUCAUAGCCGAUGCGGGUGCUCUCUGGAUAUUACCGAACUUUUGACAACCUUGACAUCCCUUGAAAUAUUUAAAACAAUCUUCAAGUAUGGUUGGCCAAAAAUAUCCAUUCCUUCGAAUCAUCCACUUCAUCUUAAAAGCUGACUGAUGCGCUCCACACACUCCUUCAUGGAUUUCCCCCAUCAAACUUCUGGCUUCAUCAUCACCCAAGCAUCGGAGAAGAAUUCCGUCGACAGUUCGAUAAUACAAUUCAUUUUCAAGGAGCACAUACUUGGUCGCUUGAAAUCGAACCCGUCUUUCAACUUUUUUGGAUGGAUCUUUUAGAUAAUCAAUAAUUUCUUUCCUCCAAUCACCGGCACUGACUGCCGAUGUCGCAUUAAUCAUUGGCUGAUAUCCUGAGGCAUGCUGGGCUAACCGAUUAGCGUCUUCAUUAUGCAAUCGGGGAACAUGCUCCAAUCGGAAGUCCUUGAAUUCCUUUAACAGUUGCAUACUUCUCUCGAAAUAGGUUAUGAGAACUUCACUUCGGCAUUCAUAGCUUCCGGCCAAUUGAUUUAUAACCAACAUAGAAUCCCCGAAUAUUUCAACAGCAUCAGCACGAACUUCUCUUAACAACUCCAAUCCCUUGAUCAGAGCUUGAUACUCAGCCUGAUUAUUUGUUGAUGUAGCAACAAUCGGCAAGGAAAACUCAUACUUCCUCCCCUUAGGAGAAACUAAUACAAUGCCGAUUCCUGCCCCCCGGUCACAGGUAGAUCCAUCAAA